AUUGAACGCUGGCGGCAGGCCUAACACAUGCAAGUCGAACGAGUGGCGGAUGGGUGAGUAAUGUCUGGGCAACUGCACGCUGGAGGGGGAUAACUACUGGCAACGGUAGCUAAUACCGCAUCCCAUCGGAUGUGCAUAGUUGGGAGUAGCUAGUUGGGGGGGUAACGUCUCACCAAGGCGACGAUCCCUAGCUGGUCUGAGAGGAUGACCAGCCACACUGGGACUGGGACGCGGACCAGACUCCUAAGGGAGGCAGCAGUGAGGAUUAUUGGGCAAUGGGCACAAGCCUGUUGCGGCCAAGCGGCGUGUAUGAAGAAGGCCUUCGGGUUGUGAAGUACUUUCCGCGUGGAGGCGUUACCCACAGAAGAAGCACCGGCUAACUCCGUGCCAGCAGCCGCGGUAAUUC
rnacentral:rRNA from 1 species